CGACAUGGCUCAGUUGGUAGAGCAACGCAUUCGUAAUGCGUGGGUCGGGGGUUCGAGUCCCCCUGUCGG
rnacentral:tRNA from 1 species